CCGCAGGAUCGCCCUCCCGGUGGCACCGACCAUUCCCAGCUGUGGGCACCCGAGGAUGCGUGCAACCAUGCGGCCUGGAUCACGAAUCUGGUCUGCACACUGGUUCGGUGCUGUAAUGACCCUGUCUUGUGGGCUCUGCUGCCUCUCUGCACAAUGGCGGUGGAUCUGUGUGAGCUGCUGUUGCCGCUGGUGGUGGAGACUCUAGCAGACGAUGGCACCCACUGGAAUGCGGUGGUGGCGGGCAUGGCCACCUUUCUGCAGUGCCAUGCUCAGCUCAAGGACGAUGCCCCCCAGAAGAGCCAGUCGACUGGGGUCUCAGAGCCAAGUAUGUUCAUGCAAUAUGUCUCUGCUGUUUUCACACUUACUUGCUAGCCAGUUGAACUUGCAGCCAGUUGAAGUAAAAGCUUUAUGUAAUUAGA